rnacentral:rRNA from 2 species
CGUGAGUGAAGAAGGGUUUCGGCUCGUAAAACUCUGUUGUUAAAGAAGAACAUAUCUGAGAGUAACUGUUCAGGUAUUGACGGUAUUUAACCAGAAAGCCACGGCUAACUACGUGCCAGCAGCCGCGGUAAUACGUAGGUGGCAAGCGUUGUCCGGAUUUAUUGGGCGUAAAGCGAGCGCAGGCGGUUUUUUAAGUCUGAUGUGAAAGCCUUCGGCUUAACCGAAGAAGUGCAUCGGAAACUGGGAAACUUGAGUGUAGAAGAGGACAGUGGAACUCCAUGUGUAGCGGUGAAAUGCGUAGAUAUAUGGAAGAACACCAGUGGCGAAGGCGGCUGUCUGGUCUGUAACUGACGCUGAGGCUCGAAAGUAUGGGUAGCAAACAGGAUUAGAUACCCUGGUAGUCCAUACCGUAAACGAUGAAUGCUAAGUGUUGGAGGGUUUCCGCCCUUCAGUGCUGCAGCUAACGCAUUAAGCAUUCCGCCUGGGGAGUACGGCCGCAAGGCUGAAACUCAAAGGAAUUGACGGGGGCCCGCACAAGCGGUGGAGCAUGUGGUUUAAUUCGAAGCUACGCGAAGAACCU